UCCGGCCCCCCACCCCCCCACUCCUCUUCUCUCUCUCUCUCUCUCUCCAAACAGGAACUUCAAAAUAAGGGCAGCCAGCCAUUCCCAUAAACCAUCUUGGAAUCCCCAAUUCGCUUCCCCGGUAUUGGGUUCAGGAUCUGCCACCCAAUUCACCAACAGUCUCUUUUUCUUGGGUUUUUUCAAACACCCCAUCUCCACCUCUCUUCCAUUGUCUCUACAGCCAACAGAGGAAGGGACGCUAUCCACACUUUCUGUUUUUCUCUGCUAAACACUAAAAAAAUAUAAUCGCUCUUGCCAUUAUUACCAUUUAUAUUACAGCACACUACAAGUGUUUUGUCUCUAUUUAUUACUUUGCAAUUUUGCAUGGCGGGAAAUCCUCCACCUGAGGGACUAGGAGAUGAUUUCUUUGAGCAGAUCUUGGCAGUGCAGCCGGGCUAUGGCGGUGGUGGUGACACCGGUGGGGGAGAGGUGGUGGGGUCCACCAUGCCUAUGAUGGGUUUGCAGUUGGGGACUCCUGGUGGUGGUGGGUUGAGGACUAAUAAUAUGGGAAUGAUGCCUUUAGGGCUGAACUUAGAGCAUCAUGGCUUUUUGAGGCAACAAGAAGAUGGUGGUGGUGCUUUGGAUAACAAUAAUCAUGCCAAUAAUAAUGCUUCUACAACUUCUGGAAUCAAUGAGAGAAAUUCUGUUCACAUUGCGAGUUUGUUCCCAACGUUUGGACAGUUGCA
rnacentral:misc_RNA from 1 species